CUGUAUUCUGUGGUAUAACCUGUUGAAUCUCAUGUGUCAAACAUCACUAUCACAUUUAAAAUAGAAAAAUUUUAUUGAGGAAUUCAACGAAUUUAUUAAUGUAAAAUUAAAUUAUUUUACCGUAUUAACUUCAUUUGUCAUAUUUAUGUCUCUUGACUUGUGUACAAUAAAUCAUCUUCCUAUAGGUACACAUAUUUUAAUAUGUUCUGUCAGGUGUUUUUUUAACAAUGCUUUUCAACCUCCAUGACGCUCCUCUCCCUGGAGACGAUAAUAUUCACUGUCGGAAUAAUCGGAAUUAUAGUAUGACUACACUUUCUAAUUUGCUGCUCUACCCAAAUAUUCACUUUUUCAGGUGUUAGACAAAUACAGACCAUGUUCCAACUCAAAUUGUUUUUAAUGAUUCUAAUAUACGAAGGAAACUGCA